CAGGGCGGUUGCUAUAAUGCAGUCGAACGAACUCUGGUAUUGAUUGGUGCUUGCAUCAUGAUUUACAUUUGAGUGAGUGGCGAACUGGUGAGUAACACGUGGGAAACCUGCCCAGAAGCGGGGGAUAACACCUGGAAACAGAUGCUAAUACCGCAUAACAACUUGGACCGCAUGGUCCGAGUUUGAAAGAUGGCUUCGGCUAUCACUUUUGGAUGGUCCCGCGGCGUAUUAGCUAGAUGGUGGGGUAACGGCUCACCAUGGCAAUGAUACGUAGCCGACCUGAGAGGGUAAUCGGCCACAUUGGGACUGAGACACGGCCCAAACUCCUACGGGAGGCAGCAGUAGGGAAUCUUCCACAAUGGACGAAAGUCUGAUGGAGCAACGCCGCGUGAGUGAAGAAGGGUUUCGGCUCGUAAAACUCUGUUGUUAAAGAAGAACAUAUCUGAGAGUAACUGUUCAGGUAUUGACGGUAUUUAACCAGAAAGCCACGGCUAACUACGUGCCAGCAGCCGCGGUAAUACGUAGGUGGCAAGCGUUGUCCGGAUUUAUUGGGCGUAAAGCGAGCGCAGGCGGUUUUUUAAGUCUGAUGUGAAAGCCUUCGGCUCAACCGAAGAAGUGCAUCGGAAACUGGGAAACUUGAGUGCAGAAGAGGACAGUGGAACUCCAUGUGUAGCGGUGAAAUGCGUAGAUAUAUGGAAGAACACCAGUGGCGAA
rnacentral:rRNA from 2 species